ensembl:lncRNA ARRDC3-AS1 ARRDC3 antisense RNA 1
CAUCUGGCUCGGGCCACUCUGACACCUUUAGUUUCGGCAAGGGAUAUUGGGGUGGCGAAGGGGAGGCGGGGGCCCGAAGGCUUCGGAAAACGAUGGGGGAGGGGGCAGAGGAUACCCGUCGAAGCCCCCCCCUCCCCCAACAUUUCGAUAUUGGAAUCACUUUCCUUCUUCCUCGGGCCAGCCUUUGCUCUGUCCCCUCAGGUCAACUCAAGGUAGACAGUGUGGCGACUGGAGAGGUCGGGGAACAAGCUUUGUUUCAGCUAAGGGGAAAACAAGCGUUCACAGGAGUCCCCUGACACCUCCCACUCGGAAGAUAGCUAACGGGGGUCCUGCCAACCCUUCCCAUCCAACUUCCAUCUGAAAAGGAUUUUCUGCUAAAGUUGGGUCCAUGGCCAUCCAGCACCUGUAAGGCCGGCAGGAGCGUCUGCCCUCUACUCAGUUAAAGCCUGAAGUCGUUUCCUUUCGAUGGCCCUUAGGAGGCCCAAAAGAGGGGCGACAGAACAUGAUGUUGACACGGGCUGGGCGCCCCCAGAAGCCCGGGAACAAACGUUUCUACUUUCCAGGUCCACUGGUGUUUGGUGUACCCAUGUGACUAAUUUGUCCAAAGAGAGAUUUCUGUGAAUAGACCAGAAGCCGACCUUUACAGUGUGUUUGGGUGCAGAAAACCUUGGCUGACAUACUCAAGGCUGAAAUGCAGUCAGCGGAAAUGGAAACACUUCAACUCUGCCCCUGUGGCAAGAAUGGCUUCCCUUCAGACAAUCUGGCCAGAUUCUUUAUGGACCCAAUGGGAGGCUGUACAGGAAACAUGGCUGGGGAGGCCUCAGGAAACUUUCAAUCAUAAUGGAAGGGGAAGCAAACACAUAUAUGGCCGGAGCAGGAGGAAGAGAGCAAAGAGGGAAGCGUCAGACACUUUUAAAGAACCAGAUCUCAUGAGAACUCACUCCCUAUCAUGAGAACAGCAAGGGGGAAGUCUGCCUCCGUGAUCCAAUCACCGCCCACCAGGCCUUUCCUCCAACACUGGGGAUGACAUCAGAUGAGGGUGAGGACACAAAUCCAAACCAUAUCAGGGAUUAAAUCUUCCAGUAUGAUAUAUGAUAUCAGACACAUCAGACACAUUUCAAAAAGAAGAAUGAAUAAAUAUGAAUGAGAAAUUUGAUAUAGACUCUAGGUUGCAUAAAAAGGGGUCAGAUAACUUUUACAAGGAUAGCUCUAUAUAGGUCUACCUCCAAGAAAAUGAAUGCAUACUAAUGCUCGAUCCUAGUAUUUGUGUUUUGUUUCAUUUUAAGGGUCCCUACAUGUUUUACAGAUACUCACCUUUUAUUUUCUGUUUUCUAUGCAAUCUAUAAUUUAUUGCAUUCUAAAUAUUUUUUCAUUUCUAUUUUCUUAUCUUUAAAAUAAACUUCUUUCUUUCCUUGGGGAUAAGCCACUAGCUAUUAAGGGAACAUUCUUGAUUUAUUAUAGAUAGGUUGAAUAAAGUUUUCAUAAAGUAUCUUAUUCACGUAAUAGAAUUUACCAAUAUGAAAGUCUUUUGACUAUAACUCUAGCACUUUCUCAUUAACCUAUGCCUUCAGUACAGCAAAGGAUAUGCAUUUGUUUGAGGAUUUGUGUUUUAGAUGCAGACUGAUUAAAUAGAGAUACAGUUUGUUAAUGAAAUAAUGUAUAUAGACACCAUGCCCAGCACUUGUUGGACAUUAUAUCAUUAGUCCUUAUAAUAAGCUGCAGAGCCAAAUAUGAUAUCCAAACUCUUCUCUCCAUUUGCAGAGGACUAAACUGAGACUCUAAUUCAAAGAUGUAAAGUAAAAUUCCCAAGAUUACGAAGCUAAUGAGUGACAAACUGACAUUAUAAUUUCAAAGUAAUUCCACUCUUAGUUACAUUACAUUGCCUCCCUCUCAGUUUUUAUCAUCAAGAUAAAUGUUUGUUUCAUAAGUAGAGUCUAUGUUUAUGUUUUAUGUUGACAUUUUCUUACUCUGCAUAUAGUAAUAAGAGUAUUAGUGGGAAACAGAGAGAAGAAAUGUUUUUUAAUUUCUCGAGUUGGAACAUGUUGUUUACUUAGGCCUUUGGUCAAACCAUAGUUUAUCAUCUGUAUUAGUAUGUUCUCAUGCUGCUAUAAGGACAUACCUGAGACUAGGUAAUUUAUAAAGAAAAGAGGUUUAAGUGACUCCCAGUUCCAUAGCGCUGGAGAGGGCUCAGGAAACUUAUAAUCAUGGCAAAAGGGGAAGCAAACAUGUCCUUCUUCACAUGGUGGGAGGAAGGAGAAGAAUGAGAGCCAAGUGAAGGGGGAAGCCCCUUAUAAAACCAUCAGAUCAUGUGAGAACUUACUCACUAUUACAAGAGUAGCAUGGGGGAAACCGCCCCCAUGAUUCAGUUACUUCCCACUGGGUUCCUCCCACAACAUGUGGGGAUUAUGGGAACUACAAUUUGAGAUGAGAUUUGGGUGCGGACACAGCCAAACCAUAUCAUCUUCUUUUCUUAUUUUAUUAAAAAUGUCCUUUCUGUAGCAUUCUGAGCUUUGAGUCUGUAUCUUGUUAUUACAGAGAGUAGCUAAAUGAAUAAUUAUUAGCACCCUUUUAAUAAUGUACUCCUAUGUAAUUGAAGAAAAAUUAUUGUAUAAAGCUAAUAUAUAUUAA